CAGCCGCCACGGUAAUACGGAGGGGGCUAGCGUUGUUCGGAAUUACUGGGCGUAAAGCGCACGUAGGCGGAUUGAAAAGUUGGGGGUGAAAUCCCGGGGCUCAACCUCGGAACUGCCUCCAAAACUAUCAGUCUUGAGUUCGAGAGAGGUGAGUGGAAUUCCGAGUGUAGAGGUGAAAUUCGUAGAUAUUCGGAGGAACACCAGUGGCGAAGGCGGCUCACUGGCUCGAUACUGACGCUGAGGUGCGAAAGCGUGGGGAGCAAACAGGAUUAGAUACCCCCGUAGUCCCUGUCUCUUAUAC
rnacentral:rRNA from 1 species